rnacentral:lncRNA from 1 species
GAUCUUUAUAUAAGGAAUGGCCCAGAUGAUUAUAUAAAUCUACAUUUAAUUUUCAUUAGAAUUGUCCUAGGUAGUGCUUGAACUUUAAAUCCUGUAGAGUAGAAGCAAAUCUGUGUUUGCAAUAGAAAUUGCCAGAAGAAAGAACAAGGAAGACAUUUAGAUAAUUUCAUCUGGGUGUGCAAAGUCAUCACAAGAUCCAUCUUUCCAUUAUCUGGAAGUUGGGAGCCACCUGUUUUUCAUGACGGUCUGACGGUUGGAAUGAGAAGUU